CGGUAUUUAUUUUCACAAACACGUUGUUAAGUGUUGGCAAUUAGCUUUAGACAUAAUAAUAUGUAUUUUUAACUUAUAUAUCGAGUGUACCUCUUCCCACCUUAAUGUAUGGAAAAAUGGUCUCGAUUUGGCAUCUCUAAUAAUAGCAACGCAUAUAACACCGUUCAGCCAGAGAACGUAAAUUCUUCAAAGUUCUCUGAUUGAAUCAUUGUGUUUAAAGGUGAUCAAAGAUGAUUCAGCUUCGAGUUACGCAAUUAAACUUUUUUCGAAAAUUUGAUAGAAUAUGUUUCAAAAGGCAUGCUAUAAUUUGCCAUUUGCUUCGCCUAAAACAACGAAAACAAUAUUGAGGACUGGCUUUAUCAUCAUAAUUUAAUGUAUAAUGGGAAUAAAUGCUUUUCUUUAAAAAUAGUAAAGGAAUAAUUUCACCCAACUAAGGAUGAUAGAAAUGCUAAGGCGAGAUAGUUGUACAAUAUAUUGUCCUGCCUGUUGACGACAUCAAAUAAUAACACCUAUGUAUGUACAAAAAACUAAAUAAAAUUAUUGAGAAAAUAUUUGUUUUUAUUUACAAUAAACCAAGAACUCAAAGCAUUUUCCGAAAAAUAA